UACAGAGGGUGCGAGCGUUUGUCCGGAAUCACUGGGCGUAAAGGGCGCGUAGGCGGCGCGGUAAGCGUGCGGUGAAAGCCCGGGGCUCAACCCCCGGGUCGGCCGUGCGGACUGCCGGGCUGGAGCACUGUAGAGGCAGGUGGAAUUCCGGGUGUAGCGGUGGAAUGCGUAGAGAUCCGGAAGAACACCAGUGGCGAAGGCGGCCCGCUGGGCAGUGGGCUGACGCUGAGGCGCGACAGCGUGGGGGAGCAAACAGGG
rnacentral:rRNA from 1 species